GAGUUCCUCAAGGCUCAAGCAGUCAGGCCGCCCUGGCUCACUCCACCCACCGAGACCUAACCUGCCUCGGGGGCUUCGGUGGCCCGAAAUUCCUCGGUGCGAAUGCCGGACUCGAGAGCGGACCCCUUGAGGUCUAGACCUUCCAUCCGUGCGCGAACACUAAUCAAAUGUUUGAGAAAUACUUAGGGGACCGAAUACUCAGUUGGCCCGGGUAUCCAGGACUUAGACAAUCACUGAAGGGAAGCUCUGCAUGAUUGCAGCAACCUGUCUUCAUGUCAAGAGUGAGCCGCCUGGUGCUCUGAAGUCUGCACAGUCUCCGUCAUGUUGCAGUUUCUCUGCCUCUUGCGAAGCUCGGUUCAGAUACCCAUAAGCUGCUUACAAAUAUAAAAGGGUAUGGACAUUCACAAUGGAAGACAUGCUCCUUGUAACAACCUGUCUUCAUGUCAAGAAUGAGCUCCCUGGUGCAGUGCACUACCUCUGGUAUCUUUCAGUUUCUCUGCCUCUUCUGAAGUUCGGUCCAGGUACCAAUCGGCUACAUGCACGAACAAAAUAUAAUGCAGUUAGGAAUGCUAGCAAUGAAUGCUAUACUCUUUUAUCAAUAUUAUACAAAAUGUACUUGUGACAGUAUCUGAUAAGUUCAGCAUGUCUCUGCUUAUAUUCUAGGAUUUACGACAAGCGAUGCUUGAAUUAAUAUGUUUGCUCAUGCUUACAUUUUGA